rnacentral:rRNA from 1 species
GUACACUCCUACGGGAGGCAGCAGUGAGGAAUAUUGGACAAUGGGUGGAAGCCUGAUCCAGCCAUCCCGCGUGCAGGAAGACGGCCCUAUGGGUUGUAAACUGCUUUUAUCUGGGGAUAAACCUACUUACGUGUAAGUAGCUGAAGGUACCAGAAGAAUAAGCACCGGCUAACUCCGUGCCAGCAGCCGCGGUAAUACGGAGGGUGCAAGCGUUAUCCGGAUUUAUUGGGUUUAAAGGGUCCGUAGGCGGACUGAUAAGUCAGUGGUUAAAUCCGACAGCUUAACUGUCGAACUGCCAUUGAUACUGUUAGUCUUGAGUAAGGUUGAAGUGGCUGGAAUAAGUAGUGUAGCGGUGAAAUGCAUAGAUAUUACUUAUAACACCAAUUGCGAAGGCAGGUCACUAAGUCUUAACUGACGCUGAUGGACGAAAGCGUGGGGAGCGAACAGGAUUAGAAACCCUAGUAGUCCCAUGA